GUUCAUGUAGCUUAACAACAAAGCAAAGCACUGAAAAUGCUUAGAUGAGUCUUAAUGACUCCAUAAACA
rnacentral:tRNA from 1 species